GCUCGUCUCAAAGAUUAAGCCAUGCAUGUCUAAGUAUAAAAAGUUUACUUUGAAACUGCGAACGGCUCAUUAACCAGUUAUAGUUUAUUUGAUAUUUUUUCUCUACUGGGAUACCCGUAGUAAUUCUAGAGCUAAUACCUGCGCAACGUCCCGACUGCAAAGAAGGGAUGCGUUUAUUAGAUCGAAACCAAUGCAGGGAAACCUGCUUUUAGGUGAUUCACAAUAAGCAAGCAAAUCGCAUUGGCGCAAGCUAGGCGAUGAGUCAUUCAAGUUUCUGCCCUAUCAGCUGCGAUGGUACGGUAUUGGCC
rnacentral:rRNA from 1 species